CCCUUUCGCAAAACCGAAAUCAAAUCAAACGCACGCUUUGUCUCUCUCUCCCUCUCGGCAGUGCUUGCCGACUUCUCUCUCUCUCUCUCUCUCUCUCUCUCUCUCUCUCAUCGGUAAGCCGUAUCUAUCUCUCGAAACCCUUAUAUCGCCGCAGGUGAGAUCGAAGAUGCUCCCUCAGUUUUUCUAAUUUCUAGGGUUUCCUUUCGUUUCUUGCUUCCAUUUAUCGGGUUUGAUUCGCAACCCUAAACAUUUUUUUCAAUCUCCAGUAAUCCGAGAGAAACUAGAGCUGAAUAACACGAUAAUUAAAGUUCUCAAAGUAAUUCUUUUUACUACUGUACUGUAUCGUUUUAGACCAAGUUUUGUUUUUAUAUCUGAGUUUCUGUGUUGUAUCGUUUGAAUAUGGCGGCUGGAAGGCAUGGGGGUUAUCGCGAAAACGAGUUCAGGGACCGCGAGUCCAACAUUCAAUUGUCAAGGAGGGAUUUUGCUAAAGCCAAGGAAGGGUAUGAUCGAAUUAGGAGUAGUAAUUCUAAUCCUGGCAUGGAAAGGGGCCGGGUUCAGGAUAUAAGAGAUAGGGGUAGGGUUAGGCAGAAGGAUAUUAAAGAAAGGGAGGUGAUGAAUGGCGGGUACCGAUCAGCUUCGAGUAGGAGUGAUUCGGGCAGUAGUGGUGGUGGCGUUGGUGGGCCCAAGCGACGUGGGUUUAUGGCUAGGGCCAUUGAUAAGGAACCGGGCGAGUUGUCGAGUGAGUCUGAUGAUGCUGUUGACUCUGAAUCACAGAUGAAGGAUCCCAAUGAUUUGCAGGUGAUCGAUAAUGGGGUCCCGUUGCCGCCUCUAGGAAGGAAGAGGAAGUUUUCCCCUAUAAUUUGGGAUAGAGAUGACAAAGACGUCAAUAACUCGUCGAGAAGUAGGGUGUCUGUGAAAGUUAAGGCUCCUCCUCCCCCUUUUUUACCGGAGGCAUACCAUCAGUCACCAAAUGUUGUUCCAGAUGGGGGUGCACAUAUAUCUCCUAGUAAGAAUAGUAAAGACGAGAAUUUGCUGCAAUCUUCCUCACCAAUAAACCCUCCUGUGGUACCUAGGUCUGGGGGUCAUGCAGUGUCCAAGUCUCCUGUAGGUUUUUCUCCUGUGUUGCCAAGCCAGCAGUGGGGUGAUAAUCUGGAAGAAGUGCAGCUAGAAGAUGAUUAUGUUCCAGCUCGAAACAUAUCAUCUUCAAGAUGGGCAGAUGCAAAUAGCUCUCCCGUUGAUGAAGGUGAAAUUAUAUAUGAUGAAGAAAUUCAUAGAAGGAGAAAAAAAAUGCCUCUUUCUGAGUCAUUGGAGGUCAGAGUUCGCAACAAGUCGUUGAGUCCAGAGAUGGGGGAGAUCAGGAGAGAAGGCUCGGAAAGAUCUAGAGUUAAAUCAUUUGAAUCUGAUGAACUUGUCACCCAUGGAAGGUCUUUGAAUCGGGAUGACGCUGGCAAUGAUCCAGAGAAGGAUGACUUCAUGGAAAUUGCAGAUGAACAUGAAAAAAAUUAUAGUAGCGCUAGCCAGUUAAGUACAGAUUCAGGAGAUGAAGAUGAUUCUCGUGGGACACCAGAACCUACACUUGCAGCUCCUCCACAAAGAAGUGUAAACAUGCUUCAAGGGUGUAGAAGUGUUGAUGAGUUUGAGAGACUUAAUAGAAUUGAUGAGGGCACUUACGGUGUUGUAUAUAGAGCUAGGGAUAAGAAGAGUGGGGACAUUGUUGCAUUGAAAAAGGUGAAAAUGGAAAAGGAAAAAGAAGGUUUUCCAUUGACUUCUCUGAGGGAAAUAAACAUUCUUCUUUCUCUUCAUCACCCAUCAAUUAUAGAUGUUAAAGAAGUAGUGAUGGGAAGUAGCCUCGAUAGUAUAUUUAUGGUGAUGGAGUACAUGGAGCAUGAUCUCAAAGGACUUAUGGAGACAAUGAAACAGCCAUUUAGUCAGAGUGAAGUUAAAUGCCUAAUGCUCCAGCUUUUGGAGGGUGUUAAGUAUCUUCAUGAUAACUGGGUACUUCAUCGGGAUUUGAAGGCAUCGAAUCUGCUUUUGAAUAACCAGGGUGAGUUGAAGGUUUGUGACUUUGGGUUGGCCCGUCAGUAUGGGAGUCCAUUGAAACCGUAUACUCAUUUGGUGGUUACCCUUUGGUACAGGGCACCUGAACUUCUGUUGGGAGCAAAACAGUAUUCCACAGCAAUCGACAUGUGGUCGUUAGGUUGCAUCAUGGCCGAAUUCUUAUCUAAGGAGCCAUUGUUCAAUGGGAAAACUGAGUUCGAUCAACUUGACAAGAUUUUUAGGAUUCUUGGGACACCAAAUGAGACGAUUUGGCCUGGAUUUUCCAAGCUCCCUGGGGUCAAGGUCAACUUUGUCAAGCAUCAGUAUAAUCUAUUGCGGAAGAAAUUCCCUGCUACAUCAUUCACUGGAUCUCCGGUGCUCUCUGAUUCUGGAUUUGACUUGUUGAACAAACUUCUAACUUAUGACCCUGAGAGGCGAAUUACAGCUGAGGCUGCUCUUAAUCAUGAAUGGUUCCAUGAGGUUCCUCUUCCCAAAUCCAAAGAGUUCAUGCCUACUUUUCCUGCUCAGCAUGCUCAAGACAGGCGUACGCGGAGAAUAGUGAAGAGUCCCAAUCCUUUGGAAGAGCAGCGUAGAAAGGAGUUGCUGCAGGGUCAUUUAGGAACUGGAGGUGUGCUUGGCUAAGUUAAUGUAUGCAGUGUGGCCUUGAUCUCCCUCCUUUUGCCUUACACAACACCAACUGGUAAAUGAGGUUGAGGUGAGAGACAUGCAUUGAAACGAAGUUAGUGUUUCUCGGAAGAUCAUUCAUGCUGUUUUUUAGCAGGCACUAUCAGUGGUUUGGGGAGACACUUGUAUUGCCUCUUCCUGUCAACCAGAUUCAUUGCAGGUUAACCUUGUUGUUCAGCUUUGGUCAUCAUUGCUUACAUUGAAAGAGACGGUUUGGUUGGUGUGAAGUGGAGGGGAUGCUCUUUGCUUUCAAUUGACGAAGAAACUGACAGUAAUCAUAAUGUUUCAGAGUAUCAAAGCAAGCAGGUUGAGGAGGUUUCCUGUGUACUCUGGAAUCUAUAGAACUUCAAUUAGGUGUUCUUCUGACUUAAUGGAGGUACAAUACAAACCUUCGUUUCUUACAAUGUGUUCUACUAGUGCCGUAAUUUGCUUAUGUUAAGUUUUUUUAGUUACUAUUUUGCCUUUUUUCUUGGGAAUCUUGAAUAGUUUGUUACAAUUUUUAUUGUCUUGGUUUGAUGUACACACUGGAAUUAUAUGGAGAAAAGAUAUUUACAAUCGUGAAUUGUAUAACCAUCGCAUAAUCGCUUUGAAAAAAGUGAAUAAAGUAUGAGAUUCACAUGAAAAAAUUAAUUUUUUAAUAGUGGAUUUUACUAUUUUUUAAAGUGAUUACGUGGCGUUUAUUCACUUCAUGAUUGUAUGUAAAAUUACUCAAUUAUAAAAGGGGUUGGAUGCACAUCCGAAAGUGCGAAAAGGAAGGUCAAAAUAUGGAGAGAGAAUAUUCUGUUCAGAUUUCGAUGCAAAGUAUGAGAUGCCCUUUUGAUUACUACGUGUAUUUCUUUUUUAUUUUUUAGUAAAUGAAACAUAACGUGUAGUGACCAAUACUGCAUUCCUCAAGUGGACUGACUCGUCAAGUUCCAUA